GACGAACGCUGGCGGCGUGCCUAACACAUGCAAGUCGAACGCUGAAGGAGGAGCUUGCUCUUCUGGAUGAGUUGCGAACGGGUGAGUAACGCGUAGGUAACCUGCCUGGUAGCGGGGGAUAACUAUUGGAAACGAUAGCUAAUACCGCAUAACAGUAGAUGUUGCAUGACAUUUGCUUAAAAGGUGCAAUUGCACCACUACCAGAUGGACCUGCGUUGUAUUAGCUAGUUGGUGGGGUAACGGCUCACCAAGGCGACGAUACAUAGCCGACCUGAGAGGGGGAUCGGCCACAGUGGGACUGGGACACGGCCCAGACUCCUACGGGAGGCAGCAGGAGGGAAUCUUCGGCAAUGGACGGAAGGCUGACCGAGCAACGCCGCGUGAGUGGAGAAGGAUGUCGGAUCGUAAAGCUCAGUUGUAAGAGAAGAACGAGUGUGAGAGUGGAAAGUUCACACUGUGACGGUAGCUUAACAGAAAGGGACGGCUAACUACGUG
rnacentral:rRNA from 1 species